GCAGCAGUGGGGAAUUUUGGACAAUGGGCGCAAGCCUGAUCCAGCAAUGCCGCGUGAGUGAAGAAGGCCUUCGGGUUGUAAAGCUCUUUCAGUCGAGAAGAAAAGGCUGCAGUGAAUAACUGUAGUUUAUGACGGUAUCGACAGAAGAAGCACCGGCUAACUACGUGCCAGCAGCCGCGGUAAUACGUAGGGUGCGAGCGUUAAUCGGAAUUACUGGGCGUAAAGGGUGCGCAGGCGGUUUUGUAWGUCAGAUGUGAAAUCCCCGGGCUUAACCUGGGAAUUGCGUUUGAAACUACAAGACUAGAGUGUGGCAGAGGGAGGUGGAAUUCCAUGUGUAGCAGUGAAAUGCGUAGAGAUAUGGAAGAACAUCGAUGGCGAAGGCAGCCUCCUGGGUUAACACUGACGCUCAUGCACGAAAGCGUGGGGAGCAAACAGGAUUAGAUACCCUGGUAGUCCACGCCCUAAACGAUGUCAACUAGUUGUUGGGCCUUAUUAGGCUUAGUAACGAAGCUAACGCGKAAGUKWCCGC
rnacentral:rRNA from 1 species